rnacentral:rRNA from 1 species
GACGAACGCUGGCGGCGUGCCUAACACAUGCAAGUCGAACGAGAUCCAUGGGAGCUUGCUCCCGGAAGAUCUAGUGGCGAACGGGUGAGUAACACGUGAGAAACCUGCCCUGGAGUGGGGAAUAACUCGGGGAAACUCGAGCUAAUACCGCAUACCCUCGGAUGGUCGCAUGGCCGACCGAGGAAAAGAUUUAUCGCUCUAGGAGGGUCUCGCGGCCUAUCAGCUAGUUGGUGGGGUAACGGCCUACCAAGGCAACGACGGGUAGCUGGUUUGAGAGAACGAUCAGCCACACUGGGACUGAGACACGGCCCAGACUCCUACGGGAGGCAGCAGUGGGGAAUCUUGCGCAAUGGGCGAAAGCCUGACGCAGCAACGCCGCGUGCGGGAUGACGGCCUUGUGG